GGUGGGACUACCCGCUGAACUUAAGCAUAUCAAUAAGCGGAGGAAAAGAAACUAACAAGGAUUCCCCCAGUAACGGCGAGUGAAGAGGGAAAAGCCCAAAUUUGUAAUCUGGCUCUUUUAGAGUCCGAGUUGUAAUUUUGAGAACUGUUUUCUGUGCUGGACCAUGUUUAAGUCUGUUGAAAAACAGCAUCAUUGAGGGUGAUAAUCCCGUUCAUGAUAUGGACUACCAGUGCUCUAUGAUACAGUCUCUAAGAGUCGAGUUGUUUGGGAAUGCAGCUCAAAGUGGGUGGUAAAUUCCAUCUAAGGCUAAAUAUAGGUGGGAGACCGAUAGCAAACAAGUACCGUGAGGGAAAGAUGAAAAGAACUUUGGAAAGAGAGUUAACAGUACGUGAAAUUGCUGAAAGGGAAACAAUUGAAGUUAGCCUUGUUAUUUCCAGUUCAACCCUUUUAGGGUGUAUUCUGGUGAUUAACGACCAACAUCAGUCUUUGAGUGCUGGAUAAGGGUUUUGGAAAUGUAGCAGUCUAGGCUGUGUUAUAGUCCAUUACUUUGAUACAAUGCUUAGGAUUGAGGAUCGCAGUAAGCCAAUCUUGGUGGAUCAAUUUAUUGGUCUUCUUACUGAGGAUGUUGGUGAA
rnacentral:rRNA from 1 species